GCUAGUAAUCGUGGAUCAGAAUGCCACUAGUAAUCGUGGAUCAGAAUGCCACGGUGAAUACGUUCCCGGGCCUUGUACACACCGCCCGUCACACCAUGGGAGUGGGUUGCAAAAGAAGUAGGUAGCUUAACCUUCGGGAGGGCGCUUACCACUUUGUGAUUCAUGACUGGGGUGAAGUCGUAACAAGGUAACCGUAGGGGAACCUGCGGUUGGAUCACCUCCUUA
rnacentral:rRNA from 1 species